CGGAUUGUAGUCUGCAACCCGACUACAUGAAGCUGGAAUCGCUAGUAAUCGCAGAUCAGAAUGCUGCGGUGAAUGCGUUCCCGGGCCUUGUACACACCGCCCGUCACACCAUGGGAGUUUGUAACGCCCAAAGUCGGUGGCCUAACCUUUAUGGAGGGAGCCGCCUAAGGCGGGACAGAUGACUGGGGUGAAGUCGUAACAAGGUACC
rnacentral:rRNA from 1 species